GACGAACGCUGGCGGCGUGCUUAACACAUGCAAGUCGAACGGAAAGGCCCUGCUGUUGUGGUGUGCUCGGUUAGCGAACGGGUGAGUAACACGUGAGUAACCUUCCGUUUACUUUGGUGUAACUUCAGUGAACUGGGGCUAAUACGGGAUAGUAUCUCCUGCUUCGUUGUGGUGGUGGUAAAUUUUCUGCGUUUGGGGAUGGCGUCGCGGCUUAUCAGCUUGUUGAUGGGGUAGUGGCUUAACAAGGCUUUGACGGGAAGCAGGACUGAGAGGGUGACCGGAUCAACUGCGACUGAGCUAAGGCACAGCCUCCUCCGCGAGGCAGCAGUGCGGAAGAUUGUACUAUGGGCGGAACCCUAAUGCAGUCAAGCCGCGUGCGGGAUGACGGCAUUCCGGUUGUAAACCGAUUUUCCCUGUCACGAAGCGUGAGUGACGGUAAUGGGUAAAGAAGCACCGGCUAACUACGUG
rnacentral:rRNA from 1 species